rnacentral:snRNA from 1 species
GGAUGGGAGGGUGAUCUGGCUGCGACAUUUGUCACCCCAUUGAUCGCCAGAGUUGAUUCGGCUGAUCUGGCUGGCUAGGUGGGUGUCCCCUUCCUCCCUCACUGCUCCAUGUGCAUCUCUCCGGAAGCUGCAUGCUCAGUCGAAGAGGAUGGCCUUCCCAAAUAGAAACGGACCGAUCUUCAGUGGAGGGUAUAAGAGUAGCUGCACUCCCCUACUAGAACCUCCAAACAAGCUCUCAAAGAAGAUGGUUGAUUAAAGAAACAAAUAGGAUGCAUUUCCAGGAAUGUAUUAAAACACAUAUGU